GAUGAACGCUGGCGGUAUGCUUAACACAUGCAAGUCGAACGGACUCUUCGGAGUUAGUGGUGGACGGGUGGGCAACGCGUGAGAAAAUGCCUUGGGGUCCGGGACAAACACUGGAAAAGGUGGCUAAUACCGGCUGUGCUGCGAGGUACAAGCGAAAUUGCCUGAAGAUGAGUUCGCGUAAGAUUAGCUAGCGGGUGAGGUAAAGGCUCGGUAAGGCAGCGAUCAGUAGCAGGCCUGAGAGGAUGACCAGCCACACUGGGACUGAGAGACAGCCCAGACGCCUACGGGAGGCAGCAGUGAAGAAUGUUCCAGAAUGGGCGAGAGCGUGACGAAGCUAUUCCGCUUGAGAAAAGAAGUCUCUUGGGAUGAAGACCACUUUGCUUAUAGAAGAACAUUAUGACGUUACCUAAAGAAUCAGCAUCGGCUAACUCCGUG
rnacentral:rRNA from 1 species